UGCACUUACAAGCUGUGGAAGCACAUUUCUUGUGUGACCGCGUACUUUUUGUAGAACGGGCCAACGAGUUACGUUAAGUAGCAAGGUUAAGCACUUAAGGUGUGGAGCCGUAGCGACAGCGAGUUUUAACUGAGCGUUCAGUUACUUGACGUAGACCCGAAACCGGGCGACCUACCCAUGAGCAGGAUGAAGCGAAAGUAAUAUUCCGUGGAGGUCCGAACCUACGAGCGAUGAAAAGCUCGGG
rnacentral:rRNA from 1 species